rnacentral:lncRNA from 1 species
CUCCCAUUUAUAUUCCAGGUUUCCAAGCGUUUGCCUGCACGGCUGUUAGGUCUUCAUCUUAUGGCAGAGCCAAAGGGGGCCUGCUGACUUUAAUAUCUGCAGAGUUGGGAUUUAAAGCACAGCGACUCGAAUGGGCCAGUAAUAACAACUUUCUGACCAUACAAAUAGUUAGUAAACAAGUUGGGAAUAUUUUCUGCAUUAACAUCUAUUUCCCCCCCUCUAAUCAUAUUGAAUCGUUAUCCACCAGAUGGGGCCAAUUAAGCGAAGUGGUUGAGAAAAUCAGUGUGCAACACCCAGAUGCAACGUUAAUUUUAGCAGGAGACUUCAAUGCAAGAUCUGGACAGGACAUUAAUACCUAUACCACUGCAACCCACCAGGGUGUUGAGGAUUCCUGGUACCUUCCAUGGCAUUCCCAAGACAGCGUCCUUAACAAACAAGGCAUAUUAUUGCUGCAGUUCAUCUUCAGACACCAUCUAUUAAAACUGCAUGGUACGGAGAAGGAUAAAUCCGAAGGAUAUUUUACGUAUUAUACCAAUACAGGAGCCAGUGUAACAGACCAUGUCCUGAUUUCUCCUGCACUCCUCACACAUAUUAAACAUAUGGAUAUACACAAUAGGACAGAAAGUGACCAUCUUCCACUGAUAAUCUUCACCAAUCUAGGCCCAAACCUCUCCCAUCUGCCAAAAAUACCUUUGGAGGGAGUAACCCAAGGUCCACGGAGAAUUAAAUGGAACAUCAACUUAAGCCAAAAUAUAGAUUCCUUGAUCUACUCUGAACAUAUGAUGGGAUUGAGAGCUAAAGCUAUGUGUCCCUCGUCUACUAUCCAAGAGGUAUUCUCCAAAAUAAGUCAGGAAUUGACUCCUCUCCUCAUUAAAGACAAGAGACAUUGGAAGGCUCAAACUUUUUCCACCUGGUUUGACAGGGAAUGCAGGCUUGCUAGGAAAAAGCUACACUCUCUACAAGUAGAGGUCAGAAGAGAAAAAUCUCCUCCUUUAAUACUGAAUUUAAUUGCCUUCCGUUCAUACUACAAACAACUGAUAGCAUCUAAAAAAUAUUCUUACAGUUGUA